rnacentral:rRNA from 1 species
UCGGGAAUUUUGGGCAAUGGGCGAAAGCCUGACCCAGCAACGCCGCGUGAAGGAUGAAGUAUUUCGGUAUGUAAACUUCGAAAGAAUAGGAAGAAUUAAUGACGGUACUAUUUAUAAGGUCCGGCUAACUACGUGCCAGCAGCCGCGGUAAUACGUAGGGACCAAGCGUUGUUCGGAUUUACUGGGCGUAAAGGGCGCGUAGGCGGCGCAACAAGUCACUUGUGAAAUCUCUGGGCUUAACCCAGAACGGCCAAGUGAAACUGUUGUGCUAGAGUGCAGAAGGGGCAAUCGGAAUUCUUGGUGUAGCGGUGAAAUGCGUAGAUAUCAAGAGGAACACCUGAGGUGAAGACGGGUUGCUGGGCUGACACUGACGCUGAGGCGCGAAAGCCAGGGGAGCAAACGGGAUUAGAUACCCGCGUAGUCC